GAUCACUUGAGCCCAGCAGUUCAAGAUUAGCCUCGGCAACAUGGCAAGACCCCCUUUCUUUAAAAAAAAAAAAUGAAUAAAUAAAGACCUAAAGCAUUUUUUAUUUAUUGUAUAUUUUUUUGAGAGAGUCUUGCUCUGUUGCCCAGGCUAGAGUGCAGUGGCAUGAUCUCAGCUCACUGUAACCUCUGCCUCCUAGAUUCAAGCGAUUCUCCUGCCUCAGCCUCCCAAGUAGCUGGGACUAUAGGCAUGUGCCACCACGCCGGCUAAUUUUUGUAUUUUUAGUAGAGACAGGGUUUCACCAUGUUGGCUGGGCUGGUCUCGAACUCCUGACCUCAGGUGAUCCACCCGCCUUGGCCUCCCAAAGUGCUGGGAUUAUAGGCAUAAGCCACUGCGCCCGGCCUAAAGCAUUUUUUAAAUCCUUGUACCCUCGAAGUACCUGCUUUGAACACCCUGUGGAAUUCACAAUGAAGGCUACUCUACCUGUAGUUUCCGGCAGUUAAAAUUUCAUGCUUUCACUGUCACAGCCUGGGUUCAAUUCCAAGUCAGGGAACCAGUCCCAACUAAAAUAAGAUAAUAAAAGAUUUGAAAAAACAGUUUUGAAGGGCUCUCUGGUCAGAAGUCAGCUUAAUUAAAAGCCGAUGUUCAAGCUAUGUAUACAUAAAGGCCUUUCUGCCUUUUCUCUUUUAGAUCCUGUUUCUGGAAACUUUCUUCAGUUGACUGACACCCCCUUUGGUGAAGAAGGGUUUCCUGGAAAUCCCUCCACAGGUUUCUACUCUACUCACCCUACACUGGCCAGAGCUGCAUCACAUGGUCAUGUCUAAAUCAUGGUUUGGGUCAAUGAUGAUUUUUCCCAUUGAGCUGGGACCUACAUCCCCCGAAGCACAGUCUUUUAGCAAGGAUUGAAAGGAGGACCAGCUUUUGUGCAGGAAUCAACAAUGUCUGUGACUCUGUGUGACACCAUUAAAUACUAAUGCAGAGGCUGAAACUGCUCAGAAAUGUUAUGUUUAAAUCGUUUUACAUAAUUGCAUGGAUUCGUGUGUGACAAGGCUUUGAAAAGUUGAUGUGUGCAUUAACAGGAGUUUUCAUCAGGUGGAUGUUAGAGGUUGGGGAGGGGUAUUCCAGGCCCAAGGGACAGUAUGUGCAAAGGUACAGAGACUUAAAAUAGAAAAGCAUAUUCAAGGAAAAUGUCAAGCACUAUAAGUUAACAUGCAUGCCUGGGGUAAAUAAUUCAAGUGGAGAGCAAUAAUUCAAGUGGCCAGAGACGUAGGCAGGGCUAAAUCCCAAAAGCCUUUGGGCACUCUUCUAAGCAAUGGAAACUCCAUCCUCUGGGCAUAAGAGUGUCCUGUAGGAUGAGCAUUUUAGAAAAAUGACACUGGUAGUGAUGUGGAAGAGAAGCAUAUGCCUGGAGGCUGGAAGAUGAGUGAGGUAGGUCAGAGGUAAGAGGAUGAGGAAUGCAGAUAGAGGAACAGACAGAUUUGAGGGCUAUCUGGUAGGUGGAAGUGACAGAACUUGAUGGUGGGUGAAACAGAAUGACCUGGAGCUGUCUGACAUGGGAAGCAGAUUUUUUUUUUUACAAAAGGAGAAGUGAGAUUUUGUUUUAAUCUAUUUUUAUUCUAAUAAAUUGGACUAAAAGCACUGGUUAGAGCCUGUGCUCCAGUAAAAGAGUUCAUCAUGACUGGUAGAGUUGGCCUUAACAUCAUCAGACUUGGCACAAAGUUCUUGAAAAAAUUGUGAAGUUUAACUCUCAACGUCACCAGUGUCACCUUCCUGUUUUGUGCUAUUCUCACCUUGAGGAGGCACCUCUAUAAUCAGCCAAUUACUAUUUUUUGAGCAUUUACUCUGUUCCCACGUCUUACAAUGUGGCACUUACCAUACGAAACAAAGUCUCUCCGGUUGGGAAUUGUGGUGGAUCAUCUGCAAAGACAGUAGCCAAAAGUUCCUGCUGUCUCUGAGUGCCCAUACACUUCUCCCAUCAAGAGGUGGAACCUAUUUUCCCCUGCUGGGAUUACAGCAUUAUGACUCAUUGUGACCAACAGAAUGCAGCAGCAAUGACAGGUGAGAGUGCUACAGCCUAGACCUUAAGAGGCACUGCAGCCUCCAUGCUUGCUGUCUUGAAGUCCUGAGCUAUUAUAUUAAGAAGUUCAAGGGCCGGGCGCAGUGGCUCACUCCUGUAAUCCCAGCACUUUGGGAGGCUGAGGUGGGCAGAUCGCUUGAGGUCAGGAGUUUGAGACCAGCCUGGCCAACAUGGUGAAACCCCGUCUCUACUAAAAAUACAAAACUUAGCUGGGCGCAGUGGCACAUGCCUGUAAUCCCAGCUACUAGGGAGGCUGAGGCAGGAGAAUCACUUGAACCCAAGAGGUGGAGGCUGCAGUGAGCCAGGAUCAUGCCACUGUACUCCAGCCUGGGCAAAAGACCGAUACUUCAUCUAAAAAAAAAAAAAAAAGAAGACGAAGUUCGAGGACUCUGCCAAAGAGAUCUCAUGGAGAGAGACGAUCAGCCAAGAAGAACAGACCCAAGCUGUUCCAGCCGUCCCGUCUGAGGUGCCAGCUAUGUAGGUGAGGCUUUUUUGCAUCACCCGGCCCCAGUCAAGCUUUCAGAUGACUGUACUUCAUCAGUGACCUCAGGUGAGACAGCAGAGGUACUACCUGAGUCUCAGCUGAGCUGGUGUCAUAUUGCAGAAUUGUAG
rnacentral:lncRNA from 1 species